rnacentral:rRNA from 1 species
AGUGAACGCUGGCGGCGUGCCUAAUACAUGCAAGUCGAACGGAGUGGCGCACGGGUGAGUAAUAUAUAGCUAAUCUGCCCCUUGCUGGAGGACAACAGUUAGAAAUGACUGCUAAUACUCCAUAGCAAGGGAUGAGACUAUAUCGUAUCAGCUAGUCGGUGGGGUAACGGCCUACCGAGGCUAUGACGCGUAACUGGUCUGAGAGGAUGAUCAGUAACAUUGGAACUGAGGCACGGUGCAAAAACCUUCGGGAAGCAGCAGUAGGGAAUAUUGCGCAAUGGGGGAAACCCAGACGCAGCAACGCCGCGUGGAGGAUGACACUUUGCGGAGAGUAAACUCGUUUUGUUAGGAAAGCGGUACCUAACGAAUAAGCAACGGCUAACUCCGUGCCAGCAGCCGCGGUAAUAC